AUAUCCUUCUGUCCUGGAUUAUCAGUUUGGGAAUAUGACCUGUCCCUCUGCAAUUCAGAAGCACUGAGGUACCCUUUAGAUGUACCCACAGCCACGGGGGAGCUACUUUACUAAACUGGUGUAUUUGUUUCAGUUACAGUUCUGAGUUGGUGGUUUGUGCUGUCUCUUCCCCAUUCUACUGGGUUGCUGCUGAGCAAAUAGAACCAGGGAGAUCAAUCCAAUGAAGGUUGAUGCAUAGGCCAGAACUUGACAUGAAUUCCUAAGCAGUGCCAGGUAUGAGACUGCUAGUACAAGGGUACUGACUUGGAAAAAUUCAGACAGUAAUGUCUUUUGAAGUACCGAAUUGUGAGGUCACAGAUGAAUUGAACCUCUCAAGAACAGUUUCUCAGAUGCUUAAAAGGAAGGUCUUGUAGGGAUGAGGGUGAAGUCUGUAGAAUUUAAUAUAACAUACUCUUAUAGUAAUUUCGCUGAACAUCAGCUAACUGUAUGUAUCUCAUGUACAUAAACUAUUCAUAAGGCUGUUGAACUGAUCCUUUGAAUGAAGCCUAUGUUGAGAAAUUGUCUUUUUGAUAUAUUUGCUGCACACAGUCUUAAAUAUUGGGACAUUCAUUUCAGAAGUACAGGUGAGUGCAAUUAUCUCUUUGGCAAGGAAUAAAAUAAACAGCUCCAUUCCUGGUUCAAGGAGAUAUCUUCAUAUUCAAAUUAAGCCCUAUUUCAUUUCCAUACAACACUAGUUUUGGGUUAGUGAAUGGAAUCUAAUUGUUAAAACUACAUUUUUGGCUGAUUGGAUUUGGUUCAUUUUAUUCCUUUUCAUUCCCCUCUACCCCCAAUCCUCAGUUCAAAUUUCCUUUAGCAAAGAAUGAGCUUCUGGUCUUUUCAGUAGGAAGUUAAGCUUCAGUGAUACUGAGUAAUUGCCUUUACAGCUCACAUGCACUUUGAAUUUAAAAUUUAAUUUGUUCAAAUCAGAUUGCUUGCCAAGCGGCUUGAGCUUAGCAUGUUACAUGAAUGAUUCAGUAGAUUGUAAUAGCGACCUUAGUAAUUUCUUAUGAAUGAUUGAAAGUGAUCGCAUUACUAAACAAUACUAGUAAGUGAUAAGUGUAUUUUCAAGAACUGAUAUUCCACAGCAAAAUUCUGUUAGAUGGUUAGAGAAAAAAGUAUAUACUUGCCCUCCCAGUGUUUGAAAAAGAAACGUAAGUCUUUCCAGGCUGAUGGAAUAUCUUCGCUGUUACAGAUUUCCUAAGCAGACCGAUUGUUUGGUAUACUGAACUGACACUCACAUUACAGAGCAAAAUAGCUGCCAAUGUGCAUUCACCAUUGCUGCAGCAAAGAUGAGCCUUUCUAGCAGCUCUAAACCAUGCUUUUCAUCACCAAGAUUGGAUAGGUUUACAUAGUCUAUGUUUGCUUGAUUUCCAGACACAUGGCAAUAGUACACGUGGCGGUGAGCAGGGGACGACCACAUUCAUUUCUCCUUUUUUUAACAGCACUUGACUUAGUUGAAUUGUUCAGUAAGAAUAAUAUUUACAAAUAGAGGUUUAUGUUUCACAUACAACAAGUCAUACAAAAUGCAGCAUGUUUUCCUGUUAUGUUAAUUCAAGACUGUAACGAAUGAAUGGAGAUAUAAUUAAUU